rnacentral:lncRNA from 10 species
UUGAAACUUACACAAACACUCACUGUAUUAUUGCAGAAGAGAGAGAGAAUGGAGAGAGAAAGGAAGAGGAAGAGGACAAGAAGAGGAAAGAGAGGAGGAAAGGAAGAGGCAUUUGGAAACAAUUUGUGCCGAAGACAGAAAGUACACCUAACGUUAAGCUGAAAAAACUGGACGCUCCCAGCAAACUCACUUUGCAGACUCCUGGUUGUCAGAAGAAAACGCCAGAGGAUUUCACUUGGCAUUGACCUCUUACUACUUCCAGCCACUUACCCUGGGCAGUAGAAAGAAGGAACAGAAAGCAGAGUAGAUUAAGAGGAGCAAGUACAAAUGGCGUGGGACUUCAAAUCACCACCUAAGAUUACUUCUUUGAUUUCUGAAAAAGUAGGUCAAAGGAAGAUGUCAGGGGCAAGAAACCAAUUGGGUGUUGUGCCUAAGAACGUGGACCCUGUGGCCAGACUGCUUGGAUCAGUGUCCUCCCUCCACCACUUUGUAGCCAUCUGACCUCAGUGCUGGAGCAGAGGUACUGAAUGAGGAAGUGGAGUCUUGGGAUACCUUUGGAGGGAUCCAGUUAAUGGACUGGCUGCCAUAAUUGGUCUGAGACACUGGUGCAAGCAUGAGAAUGGGAAUCUACAGGUCUCUAUCCCUGGUGAGCCCGGAGGUUGAGUUUUCACAAGGGCAGCAAGAAGAAUCCCUUCUCCUCUUCCUGUCCACCUUCUGAAGAGGAGGAGACAGAGCCGGGUUGCAGAUCCUCACCAAAGUGGAUGCUGUUCCCAGAGGAAGGAAGGCCCCCCCGGGGCAAGGUUGCCAACAUGACCCCACAGAGACCAGGAACAAACGUUCUUGCCUUUGGACUUCACUUCUUCACAGAGCCAGAGUUACAGGCCAACCUGAAGAUGGUAUCAUGACUCACACACACUUAUUUCUCAGCCUCAGCCAGGCUCAAGAGCAAGACUGCUGAAGGAGGAAGGGCCCUUCAUGGCCUCCUCUGCCUCGUGACUGCUUUACCUGCCACUGAUGAGGCUUCCCUGGGAUGAGAUGGAGACGAGGGCACUGAAUGACUUUGAGUUAGGGGGACUCAAGAGGGUGAGGGCACCAUGAUCAUUACCCCUUCAGUCUCCUGUCUCCCUCUUGGCAUCUCUGCAACACAGAAGGCUGGCAAUGGUGAGAUAUUAUAUUGUCAAUUAUUCAAACUUUAGAAUUUUCUGAUGCCUCAACAUCCCUGCAAAUGGGCUGUGAGCACCUUGCCCAGGUGACCAGGUGCACCAGUGUGCUAAGGCUGGUCCGGGCCACAGGUUCCCCACUUUGUGCUCCCCUGACUGGGACCUAGUGACAUCAACACCACCAGUGCAAUCCCCUCACACCUUUUGCUUGUGGAUUCCCCUCUGAAGUCCAAUAAAGGCGCUUGUCUGAG